rnacentral:rRNA from 1 species
AACGAACGCUGGCGGCAGGCUUAACACAUGCAGGUCGAACGCCCCGCAAGGGGAGUGGCAGACGGGUGAGUAACGCGUGGGAAUCUACCCAGUUCUACGGAACAACUGAGGGAAACUUCAGCUAAUACCGUAUACGCCCUACGGGGGAAAGAUUUAUCGGAAUUGGAUGAGCCCGCGUUAGAUUAGCUAGUUGGUGGGGUAAUGGCCUACCAAGGCGACGAUCUAUAGCUGGUCUGAGAGGAUGAGCAGCCACACUGGGACUGAGACACGGCCCAGACUCCGACGGGAGGCAGCAGUGGGGAAUAUUGGACAAGGGGCGAAAGCCUGAUCCAGCCAUGCCGCGUGAGUGAUGAAGGCCUUAGGGUUGUAAAGCUCUUUCAGUGGGGACGAUAAUGACGGUACCCACAGAAGAAGCCCCGGCUAACUUCGUGCCAGCCGCCGCCGUAACAC